rnacentral:rRNA from 1 species
AUGCCGUAAACGAUGUCUACUAGCCGUUGGGGCUAAAACUCAAAGGAAUUGACGGGGGCCCGCACAAGCGGCGGAGCAUGCUGAUUAAUUCGAUGCAACGCGAAGAACCUUACCUGGGUUUAACAUAUACCGGAAAGCUGCAGAGAUGUAGCCCCCCUUGUGG